AUAUUUGACAAAACAAAAACAUGUACACAAUUUUAAAUCAUACUUGGUGGUGGAACUUUUCGAAACAACAUUCGUGAGGUAACGCUAUAGUAUAUUUAAUUUAAUAUAAAAAAGGCUUGUC
rfam:Gelidibacter algens strain ACAM 536 contig00001, whole genome shotgun sequence.